GUGAGGAAUAUUGGUCAAUGGGCGGAAGCCUGAACCAGCCAUGCCGCGUGCAGGAAGACGGCCCUACGGGUUGUAAACUGCUUUUCCGGGGGACGAAUAAGGGCGAUGCGUCGUCCGAUGCCGGUACCCCGGGAAUAAGGAUCGGCUAACUCCGUGCCAGCAGCCGCGGUAAUACGGAGGAUCCGAGCGUUAUCCGGAUUUACUGGGUUUAAAGGGUGCGUAGGCGGGCGCCUAAGUCAGCGGUGAAAGGCUGCGGCUCAACCGUAGGAUGGCCGUUGAUACUGGGCGCCUUGGAUUCGGUCGAGGCGGGUGGAAUGCGCGGUGUAGCGGUGAAAUGCUUAGAUAUCGCGCAGAACGCCGAUUGCGAAGGCAGCUCGCCAGGCCGAGAUUGACGCUGAGGCACGACAGCGUGGGGAUCGAACAGGAUUAGAUACCCCGGUAGUCC
rnacentral:rRNA from 1 species